rnacentral:rRNA from 1 species
ACGCACGCUGGCGGCGUGCUUCACCCAUGCCAGUCGAACGGAAAGGCCCUGCUUUUGUGGGGUGCUCGAGUGGCGAACGGGUGAGUAACACGUGAGUAACCUGCCCUUGACUUUGGGAUAACUUCAGGAAACUGGGGCUAAUACCGGAUAGGAGCUCCUGCUGCAUGGUGGGGGUUGGAAAGUUUCGGCGGUUGGGGAUGGACUCGCGGCUUAUCAGCUUGUUGGUGGGGUAGUGGCUUACCAAGGCUUUGACGGGUAGCCGGCCUGAGAGGGUGACCGGCCACAUUGGGACUGAGAUACGGCCCAGACUCCUACGGGAGGCAGCAGUGGGGAAUAUUGCACAAUGGGCGGAAGCCUGAUGCAGCAACGCCGCGUGCGGGAUGACGGCCUUCGGGUUGUAAACCGCUUUCGCCUGUGACGAAGCGUGAGUGACGGUAAUGGGUAAAGAAGCACCGACUAACUACGUG